rnacentral:rRNA from 1 species
GUUUGUCGCGUCUGCUGUGAAAUCCCGAGGCUCAACCUCGGGCUUGCAGUGGGUACGGGCAGACUAGAGUGCGGUAGGGGAGAUUGGAAUUCCUGGUGUAGCGGUGGAAUGCGCAGAUAUCAGGAGGAACACCGAUGGCGAAGGCAGAUCUCUGGGCCGUAACUGACGCUGAGGAGCGAAAGGGUGGGGAGCAAACAGGCUUAGAUACCCUGGUAGUCCACCCCGUAAACGUUGGGAACUAGUUGUGGGGUCCUUUCCACGGAUUCCGUGACGCAGCUAACGCAUUAAGUUCCCCGCCUGGGGAGUACGGCCGCAAGGCUAAAACUCAAAGGAAUUGACGGGGACCCGCACAAGCGGCGGAGCAUGCGGAUUAAUUCGAUGCAACGCGAAGAACCUUACCAAGGCUUGACAUACACGAGAACGGGCCAGAAAUGGUCAACUCUUUGGACACUCGUGAACAGGUGGUGCAUGGUUGUCGUCAGCUCGUGUCGUGAGAUGUUGGGUUAAGUCCCGCAACGAGCGCAACCCUCGUUCUAUGUUGCCAGCACGUAAUGGUGGGAACUCAUGGGAUACUGCCGGGGUCAACUCGGAGGAAGGUGGGGAUGACGUCAAAUCAUCAUGCCCCUUAUGUCUUGGGCUUCACGCAUGCUACAAUGGCCGGUACAAUGGGCUGCAAUACCGUGAGGUGGAGCGAAUCCCAAAAAGCCGGUCCCAGUUCGGAUUGAGGUCUGCAACUCGACCUCAUGAAGUCGGAGUCGCUAGUAAUCGCAGAUCAGCAACGCUGCGGUGAAUACGUUCCCGGGUCUUGUACACACCGCCCGUCAAGUCAUGAAAGUCGGUAACACCUGAAGCCGGUGGCCUAAC